rfam:Prevotella sp. oral taxon 302 str. F0323 genomic scaffold supercont1.4, whole genome shotgun sequence.
GCUUCAGUAGCUCAGUUGGUUAGAGCACCUGACUGUUAAUCAGGGGGUCGUUGGUUCAAGCCCAUCCUGAAGCG